rnacentral:rRNA from 1 species
UACGUAGGGUGCAAGCGUUGUCCGGAAUUAUUGGGCGUAAAGAGCUCGUAGGCGGUUUGUUGCGUCGGCUGUGAAAACCUGAGGCUCAACCUCAGGCCUGCAGUCGAUACGAGCAGACUAGAGUGUUGCAGGGGAGACUGGAAUUCCUGGUGUAGCGGUGAAAUGCGCAGAUAUCAGGAGGAACACCGGUGGCGAAGGCGGGUCUCUGGGCAACAACUGACGCUGAGGAGCGAAAGCGUGUGGAGCGAACAGG